UACAUGGGGUGCAAACGUUGCUCGGAAUUAUUGGGCGUAAAGCGCACGUAGGCGGUUUGUUAAGUCGGAUGUGAAAUCCCUCGGCUCAACUGAGGAAGUGCAUCCGAAACUGGCAGGCUUGAGUACUAAAGAGGGUCGCGGAAUUCCCGGUGUAGAGGUGAAAUUCGUAGAUAUUCGCAAGAACACCAGUGGCGAAGGCGGCUCACUGGCCCGAUACUGACGCUGAGGCACGAAAGCGUGGGGAGCAAACAGG
rnacentral:rRNA from 1 species